GAUGAACGCUGGCGGCGUGCCUAAUACAUGCAAGUCGAGCGAACGGACGAGAAGCUUGCUUCUCUGAUUUUAGCGGCGGACGGGUGAGUAACACGUGUAUAACCUACCUAUAAGACUGGGAUAACUUCGGGAAACCGUAGCUAAUACCGGAUAAUAUUUUGAACCGCAUGGUUCAAAAGUGAAAGACGGUCUUGCUGUCACUGAUAGCUGGAUCCGCGCUGCAUUAGCUAGUUGGUAAGGUAACGGCUUACCAAGGCAACGAUGCAUAGCCGACCUGAGAGGGUGAUCGGCCACACUGGAACUGAGACACGGUCCAGACUCCUAAGGGAGGCAGCAGUAGGGAAUCUUCGGCAAUGGGCGAAAGCCUGGCGGAGCAACGCCGCGUGAGAGAUGAAGGUCUUCGGAUCGUAAAACUCUGUUAUUAGGGAAGAACAUAUGUGUAAGUAACUGUGCACAUCUUGACGGUACCUAAUAAGAAAGCCACGGCUAACUACGUG
rnacentral:rRNA from 1 species